rnacentral:rRNA from 1 species
AACGAAAGAGGGAGGAAGGAGGAACACAUGCAAGUCGAGCGCCCCGCAAGGGGAGCGGCAGACGGGUGAGUAACGCGUGGGAACGUACCUUUUGGUUCGGAACAACUCCGGGAAACUGGAGCUAAUACCGGAUAAGCCCUAACGGGGAAAGAUUUAUCGCCGAAAGAUCGGCCCGCGUCUGAUUAGCUAGUUGGUGAGGUAACGGCUCACCAAGGCGACGAUCAGUAGCUGGUCUGAGAGGAUGAUCAGCCACACUGGGACUGAGACACGGCCCAGACUCCUACGGGAGGCAGCAGUGGGGAAUAUUGGACAAUGGGCGCAAGCCUGAUCCAGCCAUGCCGCGUGAGUGAUGAAGGCCUUAGGGUUGUAAAGCUCUUUUGUCCGGGAAGAUAAUGACUGUACCGGAAGAAUAAGCCCCGGCUAACUUCGUG